AACGCUCUAACGGGGUGCCCGUGCCAUCAGGCAUGCGGCUGAGAGGCUGAAAGCCAACCCGCGGAACCUGAUCCGGCUAACACCGGCGGAGGGAUUAGACGCGUGACAUCU
rnacentral:ncRNA from 2 species